rnacentral:rRNA from 1 species
UGGGCGUAAAGAGCUCGUAGGUGGUUUGUCGCGUUGUUCGUGAAAUCUCACGGCUUAACUGUGAGCGUGCGGGCGAUACGGGCAGACUUGAGUACUGCAGGGGAGACUGGAAUUCCUGGUGUAGCGGUGGAAUGCGCAGAUAUCAGGAGGAACACCGGUGGCGAAGGCGGGUCUCUGGGCAGUAACUGACGCUGAGGAGCGAAAGCGUGGGGAGCGAACAGGAUCAGAUACCCUGGUAGUCCACGCCGUAAACGGUGGGUACUAGGUGUGGGUUUCCUUCCUUGGGAUCCGUGCCGUAGCUAACGCAUUAAGUACCCCGCCUGGGGAGUACGGCCGCAAGGCUAAAACUCAAAGAAAUUGACGGGGGCCCGCACAAGCGGCGGAGCAUGUGGAUUAAUUCGAUGCAACGCGAAGAACCUUACCUGGGUUUGACAUGCACAGGACGCCGGCAGAGAUGUCGGUUCCCUUGUGGCCUGUGUGCAGGUGGUGCAUGGCUGUCGUCAGCUCGUGUCGUGAGAUGUUGGGUUAAGUCCCGCAACGAGCGCAACCCUUGUCUCAUGUUGCCAGCGGGUAAUGCCGGGGACUCGUGAGAGACUGCCGGGGUCAACUCGGAGGAAGGUGGGGAUGACGUCAAGUCAUCAUGCCCCUUAUGUCCAGGGCUUCACACAUGCUACAAUGGCCGGUACAAAGGGCUGCGAUGCCGCGAGGUUAAGCGAAUCCUUUUAAAGCCGGUCUCAGUUCGGAUCGGGGUCUGCAACUCGACCCCGUGAAGUCGGAGUCGCUAGUAAUCGCAGA